GGCUAGGGGUCCAAUCGGAGCUGUAGCCACCGGCCUACGCCAGAGCCACAGCAACGUGGGAUCCAAGCCGCAUCUGCAACCUACAACACAGCUCACGGCAACCCCAGAUCCUUAACCCACUGAGCAAGGGCAGGGACCGAACCCGCAACCUCAUGGCUCCUAGUUGGAUUCGUUAACCACUGCGCCACGACGGGAACUCCUCAUAGUAUCUUUCAUCCUCUUCCAUCACAAGUGAUUGGACAUCGCUCCCUGUGCUGUCCAGCAGGACUCAUUUUAGAAUGGAUAGAUAAUGAAGCCGCAUUCUUUUUUUUUUUUUUUUUGUCAUAACCUACUGCCUCCUUGGCAGUUUCUGCAGCUGCUGGGGUUGUUGGUCCCUUAAGGGCUACAGGGCUUUUUUCUCCAGUUUUCCAAUAUUGGACUGCUAUUACUCGUGCAGGAGGAUUUGGCUCCCAGCACCCAAUUCACACUAAAACAAAAACAAAAACAAGCUGGAAUAUCCAAAGGCAACAACUGCCUUCCCUCCUACAGAAGCAAGGCUCACGUCCUCCUUUGGAACUUUGAUUCUUCAGGGACCUUAGAGGGGUCAAGAGUGACAGUCCCCUCCCUCCAAACCACCUGCUGUGUUAUGGGCCAUCGUGGGAAAUGCAGAUGAAGCAGUUCCCCCUCCCCUCCCGUGGGGCAUAAGUGCAUCCCUGGGAGCUGGUCCCAGCACCUCUGUCUCAGGACUGACCAGCGAUGUGAUCCCAGCACAACCCAGUCUGGCCCAGAGAGAGCCCACAACAAAGUUCACUGAAGCAAAGAAUGGACCUUUGGCCCUGGGGACGCUGCAAACAAACCCCACUUGGGGAAGGAAAAAAAAAAGGCGUAUUAAGACAAAGAAGGGUGGGGGGGGAGGUUGAUGGUAUAAUGUUCACUGUAAAAAGCCAAAAGUCCAUAUAAAUCCAGUAUGAUUUUAAUCACAUAAAAUAACAGGCUUGUAUAGGCACAGAGCAAAAAUCCUAGAUGAAAACACAAACCAAAAUAUUAAUAGUCAUACUCCUGCACCUUUGGCUCAUGCGUGCUUUUAUUUGCUUCUUUAAUUUUUUCCCUAAAUGCCUCAAAGGAGCAUGUGCAAUUUUCCAAAUAAUAAGGAAAAGCUGUAACUAAUUUUUUUUUUUUUAGUACCAUAGUUUUAAAUAAUAAAGUUGAGGGCAUUGCCUGCCUCUCUGAACCCAGAGCUAGCUGCUGGGUGCCAGACCAGGCUCUGACAUCCUAUGGGGUCAAGGCGGAGCUCCCCUGUGCCUGCAGGACCCCAACCAUGACACCAGGAGCUGCCCGUUCCCUGCCUGGGCCCUGGGGAUGGAGAAUGCGAAGGCCUGGUCUCACAGCCAUCUGCCAAACCUCACCACAACCAAGUACAUUUCCACGACUCCCUUCCCCAUAAGCAAGUCAGUAAAUGAAAGCACAUCUCAUACGCAAGGUGGGCCCUUCCUGGUAAAACACAAAAAAACUUAAUCUUUGGUCCAGAAGCAGUAGAUUGCGGCGGCAAGUCAGCAGCCAAAACCAUUAAUCUUUGCCGCGUUCCCCAACCGGCCCGAGUAGUAAAGAAGAUAAUACCCCAGCAGAAUCAGUGACCCACUACAAAUUGGUCCUGAAAGGUCCACCAGCAUAAAUAGACUUUUGCUGAUCCAACACUUGUUAGGAACCCCAACAAAGAGACUAUUGGCUCAUCUGAUGAGCCGCUAGCAAUGGGCCCUUGUAAUGGCUGGUGAUGGAUGACCACCCUCCCUUAGAGGGGAAGACGCAGCUCCUGGUAUGGGGCCCUUUCUCAUCUUAAAUUUGUCCUCAAUAAAUCACAGGUGCAGAGGAGCCGGCAUCAGUUUCAUUACACCUACAUGCUCCAGUAUCAAUCACGCCACCAUGGCGGCCUGUCUGGGAGCAGUUCAUUUCAAGUGGCUUUUUCGGUCCUGAUUCCAUUUCCAUUGAGAUGCGCGCCUCCAUGGGCGGGAGAGAGAAGCUUCUCUCUGAGGGCCUCUGCUCCUUUGGCUUCGGCGCCUACUCCUUCCUCUUUCUCCAUUAAUCUCCGGUUAAGAGCCAUUCGGAGCUCUGCCCUGGGUGGCUGUGCAAAGACUUAGAGUCAGAAAGAUUGGUUUUCAGCUAAUGGCUCAGUGGUUUGCAGACUUGAAGCAAGUCAUCUUCUUGGGCUAAGGCUCAGUUUCUGCAUCUGGAAAAUGGGGCUGAUAACAGCUCUCUGCCGCGAUUGAACACAGUGAUGUGUAUCAAGAGACUGGCGUGGUGCUGGGUCCAAAGCGGACCCUCAACCGAAGUUAGUCCCGGUCCACGCUCUUUCCUGUCUUGGAUGCUGGCUAGAGAGAAAGCAGCACAGGGGUGGCUGAUCCUUGCUUUCCUUUGGUACCUAGGCCCAUGAAAUAGCAGAAAGUCCCCUGUUUCUCUUCAUUGUAUCCACCUGCCUGGACUAUUCCUGGUGCCAGCAAAGGUGUGUCAGUUAUAGCUCAGAAUUUAUGAAGAUGCCGCCACAGCUCGUUUUUACUCUUGUUCCUUUCACUGUAGGCAGUUAAAAUACACUUAAAACAAAGGACACCCGAGAGCUCUCAGACCUCUUCUUAAUGCACAUAAUCAAAUACUGUAAUGUCAUUAAAUGCAUGUAUAAAGCUCAUCAUAAAAGCCGUGAACUUCUGUUUUAAAGAAUCAUAAAUGAGAACAAAUGGUUUCUUUUUAGGUGGACUCUAAGCUGGUCUGCCUGUGGCCACCAGAGGCAGGACCGAGGCACCCUCAGAGACGGCCAGCAGCCUCCUCUGGAGGGCACAGGCCAGCUGCCUCUGCUGUGGGUAGAGCGCUCAAGGCCCAGUGCCGUCCUGGAAAUCAUUAACCACAGCGGCAGAUCUUCUAGCAGAAGGGAGGGGAGCACGGGACCCUGCUCCUGGGACUGUCGCGAAUGUCAGUACAAGUUUUGCAAAAAGACACUUCCAUUCACUCUGAAGAUACAAGAGAGAUGGAGUGACAGAGCCAGGUGGGAAGGAGAGGCAGAGAGAAGGGGGAAGAGAAAAAAAGGGAGAGGAGGGAAAGGCAAGGGAGAGGGAGAUGGUUCAGAAAGCAGGUAGGGAGGGAAAGAGCUAGAAAGAAGAAUGGGACAGGCUUUACCCGAGCAAUCAUAGUUCAUCACCAGCACGGUCUGGCUCAGAGUCUGGAGAAAGAUUCUACCCAGCUACGUGUAGAUGCCAUACCUCUCAGAGAACAGGAUAGACUAGAACAGCAAAGAUGCUGCCGCUGGUGCGGAUGCUGAUGAUACUGAUGGUGCUGAUGCUGAUGCUGCUGAUGCUGCUGAUAUUACUGAGCACUCGCUCUAUGUCCCGUCUUUGGUUUAAGCCCUUUACAAACAUAGCCUCAUUUAAUUCUCCUAAUGACCCCAUAAGGUCGCUGCUACAGUCCAUCAGUUCUAAGAUGGACACUUUCUUUUCCCUGUUUAUCAUCUCUGAAACUGAGAUGCUUUUUACAAUCCCUGUCAGCCUGGCAGUGGUCUCGAUGUCACUGUCAUAGCUAGGAACACACAUCAAAACUUGCAGAGUGGGUUCCUGUGGCUUAAAAUCCUGAGGAAAAUCGAGGAGUGGUUUUUAAACCAAUGUUACCAAUGAUGUUGGCCAUGUUACAGAAGAUGCUAGUGUGUAGAAAAAUAUAAACCACAACAGUUCUGAAUCAAUUUCAGAAUAUAAAGAAGCUUUAGGAAUACCUUAAAUAAACUACUUGGUUUGUAUUUUCCUUUUUACGCAUGUACAAAGGCCUUAUGAUAAAAUCUGUGCCUAAAUAAACCCAAGAGUUCUUUCUGUAAGUAUAAAAUUUAAAAUUCCAGAGUUCCCGUUGUGACAUAGUGGGUUAAGGACCUGACAUUGUCUCUGUGAGGAUGCAGGUUCUACCCUUCUCAGAGGGUUCAGGAUCCGCCGUUGCCGCAAGCUGUGGUGUAGGUCACAGAUGCAGGCUCGGAUCCAGUGUGACUGUGGUGAAGGCCAACAGCUGCAGCUCCGAUUUGACCCCUGGCCCAGGAACUUUCAUAUGCCAUGGGGGGUGGGCAGUAAAAAGAAAAAUAAAUAAAUAAAAUUACUUAAAUUAAAAUUCCAAGGGAUAAGAGAGUUCUUAUAGUUUAAUUAGCAAUAACUCUUUGUCCUAGCAAGAUAUAAAAUAAUGGUGCGGCAUACAAUCACUGGCUUCUUGGACUAAGGGAGACAUAGUACUGUCCCAUCUUACAAAUGAGCACAGUUUCAGGCCUCUUUAUUAUUUGCUUGAAGCCACAGAGAAAAUCAAAACCCCAGAUCUUACUGAUUCCAGAGCCUAUGUUCUCAGCCAUGACUGCUAUUCAUCUCGGCCAUCUCUGGAGCCAGACCAAUAUAGGUUCAAAUUUCAGCUUUGCCACUUAUUGGCUUUGUGACCCAGAAGAGUGAAUUCUAGUGUCCAAGCCACAAAGCAGAGAUGGCGAUGAAACCUGCUUCUCCAGGUUGUAGGGGAGAAAAUAUAUGAAAGUUUUGGCACGGUACCCUGCUCCAAGAAGACAAGAAGACAAGAAGAAGAAGGGAAUUAAAUGAGGGUUUACACAUAGGUCUGUGGGGUCCCAGGAGCAUCCCCUUAGCCUCUGCAGCAGCAGUCAAAGGCUCGAGCUGCACCAGAAGCCCAGAUCUAGGACUGGAAAUGUGGGCACCAAGAAAAGAUGCUUUUAGGGAGUUCCUGUUGUGGCUCAGUGGUAACGAAGCUGACUAGUAUCCACGAGGAUGCAGGCCUCACUCAGUGGGUUAAGGAUGGGGCGUUGUCAUGAGCUGUGGUGUGUAGGCCGAAGAUGCAGCUCAGAUCUGGCAUGGCCGUGGCUGUGGCCAGCACCUGUAGCUCUGAUUCAACUCCUAGCCUGGAACGUCCGUAUGCUGCACCUGCACCCUAAAAAGGCAAAAAAUAAAAGUCAUAAAGGAUGUCUCCCACCCUGAUGCCAAGUAGAACGUGUUUACUGUAGAAAAUUUGGAAAAUACUUUAUCACCAAAAGAUACAACCACACAGAAUCCCAUGACGCACAGAAUAACACCCCACUCGCAUUCAAUGUUUCCUUCCAUAUUUUACGUGAUUGACAGUAUACCCACAACUCUGUACCCUGCUUUUUUUCCCCCACUCAGUAGAAGUGUUUCCCCAUGUUCUUCGAAACUCUUUCACAGCAUCAUUUUUGUUGCUUCCAAUGCUUUAUUGAAUGGGUGGAUCAUAAUCUACUCACCCAUUCCCCUCAAUGUGGGACCACUGGCCAAUUUCUAGUCCACUCUAGUGCACGCUCACGUGCCUAGCACUCUGCUUACAUUCUUAUUUCCUUGGGAUCAGUUAUGUACCAUUGGCAUUGCUAGGUCAGAUGACCUGUACAUUUUUGAGACUUUUGACAGAGAUUGUCGAAUAGCAGUCCAUCUUUUAAAAUGUCUAUUUCAGGAGUUCCCAUCGUGGCACAGUGGAAACAAAUCCAACUAGGAACCAUGAGGUUGAGGGUUCAAUCCCUGGCCUCGCUCCGUGGGUUAAGGAUCCGGCAUUGCUGUGGCUGUGGUGGAGGCCGUCAGCAACAGCUCCAAUUAGGCCACUAGCCUGGGAACCUCCAUAUGCCGUGGGAUGCGGCCCUAAAAAGACAAAAAUAAUAAUUUUAAAAAUAAUAAAAUGUCUAUUUCAACCCAUCUUUGUCGGCAUUGAAUACUAGCAUUUUUAAUUCUCUAUUAGUUUGACAAAUGAAAUUUUGUUUUAAAUGAACAUACUUUGUUUACUGCUUAGCAUGAACUUUCUUUUCAACUUUAUUACUUGAUUAUAUCAGCGAAUUUGUGAGAUUAUAGCUGUUAAGGGCCCAGGCAGUUAAGAGCAGCAGGUGUUGAAUCCUGGCUCCCCACUUACAACCUGUAUCAUUUAGGGCUGACUAUUUAAUUUUUCAAAGCUUUAUCACUCUUCAUUUUUUAAAAUAAAGAGAGAAGAAUAACACCUAGCCCAUAAGGUCUUUGUAAGAAUAAAUGAGAGAUGCCAUGUAAAUUAUACCAGGUACAUAGUAAACGUUCAAUAAAUAACAGCUCCUUGAAUUCUUCUGUAAAUUCUUUUUUUCACGCACUUUCUUCGUUUUUCUCUUAGUAUCUUGAUAUCUUUAGUUUGAAAGAGCUCUAUCUAUAUGAAGGACAUUAGCUCUUUGUCACAUUUAAUGUGACUUUUUAAAUUGGCUUUGAAAGGUGUAUGUUCUUUCUGCUUUGAUGGCCUCUGAAAUUAUCUUUGUGCCACUCAUAGCUAAUAAAGCAACCGAAAGGAGUUUUUUCUAUUAAAUAGAUGCUUAGAAAUAGGAAGGGGAUUGAUUUCCACUGAUGUACCUCAGAAGACAUAACUUCUCAACACUGCAUUUCUAGCAGAAGAGGCAGAAAUAGAUGGGGUUUGUCAUAUCCACAAGACAAAGCCUGAGCUGGGUGCCUAGAGAAUGUUGCUACAGCUAUGACGUGUUGAUGCCUAAACACGGCACCUGGUACUUCAUGUUGGGAAGGAAAUGAUGGGGCUUUCUGGAGCCUACCCUUUCGAAGUUCUGAAUCUGUCCUCACGUUCACAAGAAUAUUUUGGUU
rnacentral:lncRNA from 1 species